CCAAAGGCUCUCAGUUCGUCACUGGUAGUUAUAGUUGUAUGUUGUGGAACCCGUCCAUGGGUUUAUGUGCGUGUAUGCAUAUGUAUGUGUGUUUGUGUAUAUGUAUGUACUUGGCAUAUAUAUGUGCGUAUGCAUAUAUAUGGGUUUAUAUAUGUGUGUGCACAUUUGUACAUAUGUGUCAGGAUGGGGUAACCCCUACACACACAGAAUAGGGAAACAAUAGAUAGUAUGAAGUUAAAGACAGAGAGUGAUACGUAUACCGGAUUCACAUAUGCCCAAGAUAGGCAAAAAUACCAUGUCAGUAUUUAAGCCAAAGUUAAGGAUUCCAGAGGUACUCAGAAAUGAUAAAACAAGCUGGGGUCAAGGAUAUAGGAAAGCAGAAUGGUCAAUACAAAGUCAGGUCAGUAACAAGAACGCCAAAUAUUCAGAACACACUCUUGGGCAAUAAUAAGCCACGAAUGGGCAAUGAUCCCAAGGAAAAGGGAAGUAUAUAUAGAGAUAACUCCAAAGCUAUUUGACAGCAUCACCACCCUGCG